UCAUCGAUGAAUGUAAGAAAGUAGCGAGC
rnacentral:piRNA from 1 species